rnacentral:ncRNA from 18 species
UUAAAUUAAUGAAAAACAGGUGCAGCACAUUUGUGCGUGCUUAAAAGAGAAGCCGGAUAAGCCGGCGCGGUCCCGCCACUGUGAGGGGAGCAAACCUGCAGGAAGCCACUGAGAGGAUAGGCCUUUUGGGAAGGCGCAGGAGAGCGAUGAACCGAGCCAGGAGAACUGCCUGUUUAAUGAUUGCCGUG